GAUGAAGAACGUAGCGAAAUGCGAUAAGUAAUGUGAAUUGCAGAAUUCAGUGAAUCAUCGAAUCUUUGAACGCACAUUGCGCCCGCCAGUAUUCUGGCGGGCAUGCCUGUUCGAGCGUCAUUUCAACCAUCAAGCCCCAGGCUUGUGUUGGGGACCUGCGGCUGCCGCAGGCCCUGAAAACCAGUGGCGGGCUCGCUGUCACACCGGGCAUAGUAGAUUUUAUCUCGCUCAGGGCGUGCUGCCGGUUCCGGCCGUUAAAAAGCCUUUUUUACCCAAGGUUGACCUCGGAUCAGGUAGGAAGACCCGCUGAACUUAAGCAUAUCAAUAAGCGGAGGA
rnacentral:misc_RNA from 1 species